rfam:Leptosomus discolor contig6923, whole genome shotgun sequence.
CCAAAGGCUCUUUUCAGAGCCACCCACAGCUUCAGGAAAAGAGCUG